rnacentral:rRNA from 1 species
AUGCUUAACACAUGCAAGUCGAACGUGCCUUCGGGCAAGUGGCAGACGGCUGAGUAACGCGUGAGUAACACACCCUUCGGUGGGGUAUAGCCUCGGGAAACUGAGGGUAAUCCCGCAUACGAUCCCUACGCCCUGGUGUAGGGAUGAAAGCCUUCGGGCGCCGGAGGAGUGGCUCGCGUCCUAUCAGGUAGUUGGUGAGGUAACGGCUCACCAAGCCGAUGACGGGUAGCUGGCCUUAGAGGACGAUCAGCCAGAGGGGGACUGAGACACGGCCCCCACUCCUACGGGAGGCAGCAGCAGGGAAUUUUGGGCAAUGGACGAAGGUCUGACCCAGCGACGUCGCGUGGGGGAUGAAGGCUCUAGGGCUGUAAACCCCUUUUCCGAGGGAAGAGGAAGGACGGUACCUCGGGAAUAAGCUCCGGCCAACUACGUGCCAGCAGCCGCGGUAAUACGUAGGGAGCGAGCGUUACCCGGAAUUACUGGGCGUAAAGAGCACGUAGGCGGUUGGAUAAGUCUUCUGUGAAAGCUCCUGGCUCAACUGGGAGAGGUCAGGGGAUACUAUUCGACUUGAGGGCUGUUGAGGUAAGCGGAAUUCCCGGUGUAGCGGUGAAAUGCGUAGAUAUCGGAAGGAACACCAGUGG